UUACUAGAAGCAAUUCUUUGAUACAAACGGAUUCAUUCACCUACGAAUCAAAAAAGAAAGAAAGAAAGCAAAUGCAGUUGCAAAAGCUUGUCCAAGAAAAAGAAUCAAUAAAGUGGUGCAUCAUAAGAUGAGGGCUUGGAACGUGAAUAAAGUGGUGCAAGGUGAGCAAGCUCCGAGGCCUCAUCAUGAAUUCGGCCCCGUUUCUCCAUCUCCUCUUUCUUCUUCGAUUGAUUGUAUCGAUGCUAAAAGAACCAACCAGGUAACUUCAUUUCAGUGCAGCAAAUUUUAUGAUAUAUGUUUUUCUUUCAAGAAAAAGUGGAUAUUAAUUGACCUUGCCUGCUGAUUUUGAUACCCUAAUGAAAGAGGGUGAAAACUGUGUCAAAGAAGCGGUUAAAAAUAAAAUUGAUGAUNAUACAUUCAAUACAUUUAUUGUAAUUUUUUUUUGUGAGUGUAUAUGUUUUGUUCUUUUAUUUUUCAGUAAAGUGGUAUCAGAGCCACUUAUAAAAUAUCUUCGGUCAAAAAGAAUUAUUUUAUCUUUUUAAUACUCACAAUUAUCUAAGUUUAACUAUGACAAUUGGUCAUCUAAUGAAAGCAAUUCUCGAUGCUCGUGUGAGAGAUAGUUAAAAAAGAUUAUGUAGAACUAGAAAAUAUGGAGAAACUAACAGAAACUCAGAAGGACAAAUUGAAAAAUAAAAGACAGAAAAACUAAUGUGCACUUAUUAUCAUUUAUCAAGGUUUAGAUGAUGAUAUAUUUGAGAAAAUUGUUGAUAUAACCAAUGCAAAGAAAACUUGGGAUACUCUUCAAAAUUUCGUCAUAGGAGUUGAGAAAAUGAAGAAGGUUCGCCUUCAAACUCUAAGGGCUAAGUUUGAGUCUCUAAUGAUGAAGGAGACUGAAUCUAUUUUGGAUUAUUUCACCAAAGUUUUGGCGAUAGUGCACCAAAUGAAAAGGUUUGGAGAAAAAUUAGAAGAUGUUCGUGUUGUUGUGAAAAUUCUUCAUUCUCUCAACUCAAAAUUUUACUAUGUGGUGGUAACCAUUGAAGAGUCUAAAGAUUUAAAUACGAUAUCCAUUGAUCAGUUGAAUGGUUUAUUACGGACCCAUGAAGAAAGAAUGGAUAAAGGCAAGCAAGAACAUGUGAAACAUGUCUUGCAGGUAAAACUUUUGUGGAAUGUUAGAGGAGAAGCCAACGAAAGUGGAAGACAAGGACGAGGACGAGGUCAUCGAGGCCGUGGAUGAGGAUGAGGACGUAGUUACGGAAGAAGAAGAAACGAGAAAAAUUAUUCUCAACAGAGAAAAAAUCUAAAUUUUUCUCGAGGUCGUGAAAGAGGAAGAACGGUUGAUAAAAGACAAAUUGAAUGUUAUUCAUGUAGAAAGAAUGGACAUUAUUCUUGAGAGUGUCAGACAUACAAAGAAGAAGAAAAUAAACUUGUUGUACACAGUAAAGAUGUUGAAGAAUCAACAUUAUUCCUUACGCUCAAAGAAGAUCAAAAUUCUGAAGAUAGUACGUGGUAUCUUGACAAUGGAGCUAGCAACCAUAUGACAUGUGAUAGGAGUAAAUUUGUAGCAUUCGACGCCAACGUAAAAGGACACGUGUGUUUUGGUGAGGAAUCAAAAGUAGAGAUCAAUGGCAAAUGGACGAUUCUAUUCGAGUUGAAGAACAGAAGUCAUAAGAUUCUUUCCAAUGUUUAUUACAUCCCAAAGAUGAAGAAUAAUAUCUUGAGUAUUGGACAACUUAUGGAGAAUGGUUGCAGGAUAGUCAUGGAAGAUCGCUAUCUUUGGCUUAGAGAUAAAAAUGAAAAUCUUAUUGCUAAGGUUUCUAUGACAAAAAAUUGUGUGUUCUGUUAAACAUGAGAAGUGGUGGAGCUAUAUGUUUGAAGUCAUGUAUCGAAGAUCCAUUAUGGAUUUAGCAUAUGAGAUAUGGACAUUUAAAUUUUGGUGGACUCAAAGAAUUGGAAAAAAGAAGAUGGUAAAAGGAAUUUCAACAAUUGAUCAUCCUCAUCAGAUAUGUGAAGCUUGCUUACUUGAAAAACAUUCAGGAAAGAGUUUUUCAAAGCGGUCUAAAUCAAGAGCUACCAAACCACUUCAGCUUACCCGCAAGGACAUUUGUGGACCUAUCAAGCCUUUAUCACUUGGUAAGAGUGCUUAUUUUCUACUUUUCGUUGAUGAUUAUUCAAGCAAAAUAUGGGUUUAUUUCUUGAAGCAAAAGUGCGAAGCAUUUAAUACAUUCAAAAGUUCAAAGCCCUCGUUGAAAAUAAAAGUGGUUAUAAGAUAAAAGCUCUCAGAACUAACAGAGGUGGAGAAUUCACUUUAAAUGAUUCAAGACAUUUUGUGAAAACCAUGUUAUUCGACGUCCCCUAACUGUUUCUAGAUCACCUCAAAAAAAUGGAAUUAUUAAAAAAAAAAUAAGACAAUUCUAAAUAUGGCGAGAAUGAUAUUGAAGAUCAAGUCAUUGCCAAAAGAGUUAUGGGAAAAAACAGUUGCAUGUGCAAUUUAUCUCUCAAACCACUCACCUACCAAGAGUUUGAGAGAUAUAACACCUCAAGAAGCAUGGAGUGGUUUAAAACCUAAUGUGUCACAUUUAAGGGUUUUUAGAUCUAUUGCAUAUGUCCAAAUUCCUAAGCAAGAAAGAUCGAAGCUUGAUGAUAGGAGCUAUAAGGUCGUAUUUAUUGGCUAUGAGGAGAAUACCAAAUGCUACAAGUUCUUUGAUCCCGAGAACAAUAAAGUAAUAAUAAGCAGAGAUGUUGAGUUUGAAAAAAGUACAAAGUGGGACUAGACUACAUAAAAUGAAGCUACUUAUGAUUUUUUGCCUUACUUUGAGGAAGAAGAAGCUCCCAUGCAAGAAGUGCAAGAUAAAACCAAUCCUUUAACAUUAGCAUUAACCCCACUAUUAUCAUCAUCGUUAUCUCCAUCUUCUAGUUCAAGCGAAAGCCCUCGCAGAUAUCGAAGUCUCACUAAUCUCUAAGACAAAACUAAAAUACUAGAGGAUGAUAAUUUAUUGUGUCUACUCUCCAAUGACGAGCCUUUGAAUUUUAAAGCUAUCAAAGAUGAAAAACAGAUACAAGCUAUAAAGGAGAAAAUUCAAUCAAUUGAGAAGAACAACACUUGAAAACUUGCAUCACUUCCAAGUGAUCAUCAGACUAUUGGAGUCAAAUGGGUCUACAAAAUUAAGAAGAAUGCUAAAGGUGAUGUAGAAAGGUACAAGAUAAGACUCGUUGCAAAUGGGUAUAAGCAAAAGCAAGGAAUAGAUUAUGAUGAAGUGUUUGCUCCGGUUGCUCGCUUGAAAACGAUAAGGCUAUUAUUAUUACUUGCAGCACAAAACCACUGGAAAAUCCACCAAAUGGAUGUGAAUUAUUUUUUUGAAUGGUAAUCUUUUAGAAGAAGAUUAUAUUGAACAACUUUUAGGUUUUGUUAUUGAAGGUUGUGAAGAUAAGGUGUUAAGGCGUAAAAGGGCUUUAUAUGGACUGAAGCAAGUUCCAAGAGCUUGGAAUGAUCGUCUUGAUAUGUAUUUUCAAGACAAUGGCUUCACUAGGUCCAUUCAUGAAUAUACACUUUAUGUGAAAGAGGAAAGAAGAAAUUUGUUAUUUGUUUGUGUCUAUGUGGAUAAUCUUAUAUUCACAUAAAAUAAUCAAAUAAUGUUUGAAGAAUUUAAGAAGGUAAUGGCUCAAGAUUUUGAGAUGAGUGUUAUGGGUUUAAUGUCCUAUUAUCUGGGAAUUGAAGUGAAACAAAUAGAUUAGGGGUGCACAGACCCGACCCGGCCCGAAGGUCCGGCCCGGUCCCGAACACUUUAGAGGCUAAUUUGGUGUGAUUUCAUCGGAUUUAGGGCCGGGUAAGGGUCUAAAAAAUAGACCCGGUCAUUAUUUCGGGUCGGGUUCGGGCCAUAGCUCGGGUCACCCGAAGUCGGCCCAGUGGUCCGGUCAUCAUACACAAUUAAUAUUUUGUAUUAUUAGUGAUGGAUCAUGACUAUUCUUAUGUGGAAUUUAAGUAUUGUAAAUCUUAAUAUUUUGUGUUAUUAGUCAUUAUAAGACUAUAAGUUAAUGUUUUAUGUUUAGAAUGCAUAAGACUUUAGACUAAUGCAUAAUAUUGUAUUAUUUGUAUUGAUUUAAAUAUUUAAUAUUAUUAGACAAUAUUAGUAUUGAUUGUGGUUAUACUUUAGUAUUGAUUGUGGUUAUGCUUUAAUUAUGAAGAAAGGGUUGGUUCUUGUUAUAUUUUUCUAAGUGAAUUUUACCAUGUUAAAUAAUUGUUGGAGUCUUGAAAAUUUGAAUAUUUUUACAUGCUAGCUUACAAGAAGGUAUCAACGUAAUGUAAUGUUAACGGCCCGGUUUUCACCCAGUUUUCACCCGGUAUAAUUGUGGCCCGAAAGUGUAUUGGUUUCAUCGGGUCUAGGGUUGGGUUCGGGUCUAAUAAAUAGACCCGGUGUAUAUUUCGGGUCGGGUCUGGGUCACAUCAAACCCGGCUUCACCCGACCCAUGUGCACCCCUAAAAUAGAUGAUGGAAUUUUCAUCUCAGAAGAAGCUUAUGCAAGAGAGCUAUUAAAGAAACUCAACAUGUUAGACUGCAAUCCUACCAAUAAACCUAUAGAGUGUGGAGUCAAACUUUUCAAAAAGGAAGAAGGUGUAUGAAAAGUUGAUCAAACAUUAUUCAGAAACCUUGUAGGGAGUUUGAUGGUAAUCAGUGGCUAAGAGAAUGGAGAGUUGAUCUUAGCCCCUUUUUCUGAAUAUUAAUUUUUGUCUUUUUAAAGAACUCCAGGAGAUAUUUUUACUUUUUGUCUCAUAACCAGUCAAGAGACAUUUUCUUUUUGUCUCGUAACCGAUUAGGAGAUAUUUUUCAAUUUUGUCUCCAACGUAAUAGAAUCAAAAUAGGAGUAGAAGAGAAAGAGAGAAUCGCACCCAAAAGUAUCCUGGUUCAGCUGCUAAGUGCAAUGCAGCCUACAUCCAGUCUCCAUCACAAAGUGACAAAAUUUCACUAUAAUCAUCAGAUUACAUACACCAAUUCUUUCCUAGGAUCUACCCAAUCCUAUUUGGGAUAAAUUCAAAUUCUAUCCCCAAAUCUGAACUUGGCUUGAACUCUUACCAAGCUUUCAACUGCAAAGUGCUAACCCAACUUGCAAGCGAAUCCCUACAGGAUCAUGACACACAACAUACAGAUGUACAAAGAAACUCUAAGACAUCUAUGAAUUUUUUCUUUAAUUUUGCUCACUGUCUUUUUUCUCUCACUGGCUUUUUCUUACAAACCUCACCAUGUUUGCCUUUUACCAUGAGACUCAGACAGACAAAACUAAAGAAAAGAAAACAAAAUGAAACUCAUUGAAGGAGAAGAACUCUGUUAGCUUCAGGUAACUAUGAGAACUCUGUGCUUUCUCUCCUUGUCUCAACCCUUGGCCGUUCACCCUUAUUAUAGAAGGGGAAGCUUCCAAGGUUGAAACCAGUUCAACCAAGCCGACAACAUCUUCUCCAACACACAACAGCGGUUCGGAUAGAGAGAAGAGAGAGGAAAAAAUAAAAACCAACAUGCAUGUACCUCUCUCAAUUUUCCUCAUCAAGUUCCUUCACUCUGAGUCCUUGAUCCUGAUUUUGGCUCCAAGAAAGAACUCUGACCCUUGAUGAAUCUCUGAUCCUUGACAGCUCCUUCCUUUCCAUAUUUGCUUCUUCCUCUUCGUAACUCCAGUAGCUACCUUCUAUCUUGGAAUAACAAAAAUGGAAAUGAGCUUUAUCCACUGAGAUCUUCUUCUCUGACCGAGACGAAUCUUUCCUAUUCUUGGCAUGGAAGAUCUUGAAGCUUCUCUUGAAAAUAUUGCCUUCAAUGGCAAAGAUCUAGCCACACCAUGCUUCGAAUCUUUCUUUUGAAAAAUCCAUCAUCAACCUAGCCUCUUCUUUUUCAUUAGCCUCACUGUAUCUGUACUUCUCUUCUGAUAACUUGUUCACUAUUCUUUCCGGAGUGAAGUGACCGAAUAUCAAAGAAGAGAGGAGAGAUAAUAAACAAAAAAAAAGUAUUCAAUGCACAAAUAAAUGAAAUUGAAUUGUAAUUUUCAAUUACUUAUGUAAACAUUUAACCAAAUUAGAAUUUAAGUUCCAGUAACCAAUGCAUGCAUUAAAUUAGAUUGAAAUUUGAAUUCCAUCAUCCAAAGAGUGUGGGUAACCGAACCACAUCUCUUUCAAUUCGGACCAGAGCUUGUUGCAUUACAAAGAAUAAUUGUUUUGAGCUGUACACUGGUUUUCUGGCCCAAUUAGCUUUGCCAUCCUUUCUGAAUAAUUUAGCCACAUAGUAUGGAAUAUUUUUGUACAAAGGCUGAUCACAUUUUCAUCACAUUAGACUUAUAUUGCCUUAUAUUGCCUUAUAUGCUGGGGAUAUUGACGGCAGGAAGAGUACUAUUGGAUUUGUUUUCUUUUAGGAAACAAUGCAAUUUUUUUGUUUUCAAAGAAACAUAACAUAUAGUCACUCUUUCAACUUGUGAAGCUGAAUAUGUUGCUGUCACUGCCUAUUCAUGUCAUGCAAUUUGGCUGAAGAUAUUAAUGAAGAAAUUUCAUUUUGAGUAAAAUGAAUCCACUAAGAUCAUGAUGAACAACAAGUCAGUCAUCGUCCUAGCAAAAAACUCAGUGUUUCACGACGACAAAAGCAAGCACAUAAAGACAAAGUAUCAUUUCAUUCGACAAGGCAUUGAGAACAUUCAUUUGGAGGUUGAGUAUGUGAAAUUACUUGAUCAAGUUACCGACAUUUUCACAAAGUCUUUGAAAUAUGAUGUUUUUCAAAAGUUAAGAAUUAUGAUUGGAGUCAGACAAUUAUCAAGUUUAAGGGGAAUGUUAAAAAUAAACUUGAUGGUUAGAAUUUAAGAAUAGAGAGAAACUACUAUUUAAAUGGGUUUUUAUAUUUAGUUUUAUUAUAAAGCAUUUAUUUAUUUAGGAUGUGUUAAAAUAUGUAUAAAAUCAUUUUAUAAAAUAUAUACAAUAAAUACAUUCAAUAUAUUUUUUUUCAUUUUUUUCGUAAAUGUGUGUCUUAUUCUUUUCUUUUUCAACCGUAACAACCACGGUUAAUUUGCUAUUGGAUUUAAGUCAUCAUUAAAUUUCAAUAUGAUUGAUUAUUUUUUUUAAUAAGUAAAUUUUUUAUCGAUAAAUCUUUUCUAAGAAAAACAGUAGGAUUUUUUAUGAUUGAUUAUUUUUUGAUAAGUAAAUUUGUUAUCAAUAAAUCUUUUCUAAGAAAAACGGUAGGUUUUAACAAUAAAUUUUAAACAGUAAGAUUUUUAUAUCCAAAAAGGGGUUAGGGGUUCUUAAUCAUUCAUUAAUUUAACAAUUCGGUAAUUCUUUUUAUUCGUUAAAUUUUGAUACAAUAAAUUUUUAAUCCCUUUUUUAUUUUUAUCUCUUUUCUUUUCUUGAUAUAUGCUCUCAGAUGUUGGAUGUUGAAGAACCAAAGAGAAGUUCGAAAAUACUGAGACCAAGCAGUCUCCCUGAUUUCUUAAAGAAUUAAUACAUUAAAAUAAUUUGCUGUCCUUGUUGUUUAUAUAGAUUUUGAAGAAGAAGAAUAUUAAGCAAUUUCGGAUUAUUGGGUUUGAUAUUAUUGUUGGUGUUAUCAUAUAUCUACCUGGAAGAUUACGGACGAUAGAGCAUGUAGAAUAAAAAACCAUGGUUACUUACCAUUUCAUUUCUUGUUCUGAUUUUCUCUGUUUUGCAGAUUCCAUAAUGGAACGAGGAGAUAAGAGGAGGAGAAUUAUCAGGAGCGAUAUCGGCUUUGACUGCAUGAUUUUUUUUUUCUUUGUAUAAAGAACACAUUAAUGAAAUAAUAUAUACUGUGUAUGCUGUUUUGUGUUUUCUGAAGAGGUUUUGUGGUAUUUUCCUCCUCUUUCUUUCAAGAAUUAAAUAUUGACCUCUCCAUUCUUUAGGGCGCAGUUUUAUAUUAACACCGG
rnacentral:lncRNA from 1 species